UACGAAGGGUGCAAGCGUUACUCGGAAUUACUGGGCGUAAAGCGUGCGUAGGUGGUUCGUUAAGUCUGAUGUGAAGGCCCUGGGCUCAACCUGGGAAUUGCAUUGGAUACUGGCGAGCUAGAGUGCGGUAGAGGAUGGCGGAAUUCCCGGUGUAGCAGUGAAAUGCGUAGAGAUCGGGAGGAACAUCUGUGGCGAAGGCGGCUCACUGGUCCAUAACUGACGCUGAGGCACGAAAGCGUGGGGAGCAAACAGG
rnacentral:rRNA from 1 species